GAUGAACGCUGGCGGUAUGCUUAACACAUGCAAGUCGAACGGUGUCUUCGGACACAGUGGCGGACGGGUGAGUAACGCGUGAGAAUCUAGCUUCAGGUCGGGGACAACCACUGGAAACGGUGGCUAAUACCGGAUGUACCGAGAGGUGAAAGGCUUGCUGCCUGAGGAUGAGCUCGCGUCUGAUUAGCUAGUUGGUGGGGUAAGAGCCUACCAAGGCGACGAUCAGUAGCUGGUCUGAGAGGAUGAUCAGCCACACUGGGACUGAGACACGGCCCAGACUCCUACGGGAGGCAGCAGUGGGGAAUUUUCCGCAAUGGGCGAAAGCCUGACGGAGCAAUACCGCGUGAGGGAGGAAGGCUCUUGGGUUGUAAACCUCCUUUCUCAGGGAAGAAUUCAAUGACGGUACCUGAGGAAUAAGCAUCGGCUAACUCCGUGCCAGCCGCCGCUGUAACAC
rnacentral:rRNA from 1 species